CCCUAUGGGGUGCAGCAGGCCACGAUCAAUGAAAUACAGAAACACAUUAAUGCUCUUGUAGAGGAGCAAAAUAAUGAUAUAAUGUCGCUAGAAGAAACACUGAGGAGCGCAGGCUAUGAUGAACAAUCCAUCAAAAGAAUUGCCGCCGAAAGCGAAGACGCUAUUGCAACGUAUCAAAGCGAGACACAAGAGGAUCAAGGAUCUCAAGGAGCUCAAGAAGAGGCUGGAGAGGCACGAGCUCGUGGAGAUGAAACAGACGAAGACUUCGUCACAGAAUUAGAAGAACCUACCGAAGAAACACCCUCACAAUUUCGUCCUCCAUUAAGGCCUGAACCGGUCGAAGAAGUCUCCGCAUCUCCCAUAAGACCCACGGAAGGAUGGGAGAACGAGCCUGGCUCAAUGCCCGGGGGC
rnacentral:rRNA from 1 species